GAUGAACGCUGGCGGCGUGCCUAAUACAUGCAAGUCGAGCGCACAGACGAGGAGCUUGCUCCUCUGACGUUAGCGGCGGACGGGUGAGUAACACGUGGAUAACCUACCUAUAAGACUGGGAUAACUUCGGGAAACCGGAGCUAAUACCGGAUAAUAUCUUUAACCGCAUGGUUCAAUAGUGAAAGACGGUUUUGCUGUCACUUAUAGAUGGAUCCGCGCCGCAUUAGCUAGUUGGUAAGGUAACGGCUUACCAAGGCAACGAUGCGUAGCCGACCUGAGAGGGUGAUCGGCCACACUGGAACUGAGACACGGUCCAGACUCCUACGGGAGGCAGAAGUAGGGAAUCUUCCGCAAUGGGCGAAAGCCUGACGGAGCAACGCCGCGUGAGUGAUGAAGGUCUUCGGAUCGUAAAACUCUGUUAUUAGGGAAGAACAAAUGUGUAAGUAACUAUGCACGUCUUGACGGUACCUAAUCAGAAAGCCACGGCUAACUACGUG
rnacentral:rRNA from 1 species